UACGGGGGGGCAAGCGUUGUUCGGAAUUACUGGGCGUAAAGGGCUCGUAGGUGGCCAACUAAGUCAGACGUGAAAUCCCUCAGCUUAACUGGGGAACUGCGUCUGAUACUGGAUGGCUUGAGUUUGGGAGAGGGAUGCGGAAUUCCAGGUGUAGCGGUGAAAUGCGUAGAUAUCUGGAGGAACACCGGUGGCGAAGGCGGCAUCCUGGACCAACACUGACACUGAGGAGCGAAGCAGG
rnacentral:rRNA from 1 species